rnacentral:rRNA from 1 species
UACGAAGGGGGCUAGCGUUGCUCGGAAUUACUGGGCGUAAAGGGCGCGUAGGCGGACAGUUUAGUCAGAGGUGAAAGCCCAGGGCUCAACCUUGGAAUUGCCUUUGAUACUGGCUGUCUUGAGUUCGGGAGAGGUGAGUGGAAUGCCGAGUGUAGAGGUGAAAUUCGUAGAUAUUCGGCGGAACACCAGUGGCGAAGGCGACUCACUGGCCCGAUACUGACGCUGAGGCGGCGAAAAGCGUGGGGAGCCAAACAGG